rnacentral:rRNA from 1 species
AGUGAACGCUGGCGGCAGGCCUAAUACAUGCAAGUCGAACGGCAGCACAGCAGAGCUUGCUCUGUGGGUGGCGAGUGGCGGACGGGUGAGGAAUACAUGGGAAUCUGCCCAGUCGUGGGGGAUAACGUAUGGAAACGUACGCUAAUACCGCAUGCGCCCUACGGGGGAAAGUCGGGGACCGCAAGGCCUGACGCGAUUGGAUGAGCCCAUGUUCGAUUAGCUAGUUGGCGGGGUAAAGGCCCACCAAGGCGACGAUCGAUAGCUGGUCUGAGAGGAUGAUCAGCCACACUGGAACUGAGACACGGUCCAGACUCCUACGGGAGGCAGCAGUAGGGAAUAUUGGACAAUGGGGGCAACCCUGAUCCAGCCAUGCCGCGUGAGUGAAGAAGGCCCUCGGGUUGUAAAGCUCUUUUGUCCGGAAAGAAAAGCAAUCGGUUAAUACCCGGUUGUCCUGACGGUACCGGAAGAAUAAGCACCGGCUAACUUCGUGCCAGCAG